CCUACGGGGGGCAGCAGUGGGGAAUCUUGCGCAAUGGACGAAAGUCUGACGCAGCCAUGCCGCGUGAAUGAUGAAGGUCUUAGGAUUGUAAAGUUCUUUAGCCUGUGACGAUGAUGACGGUAACAGGAGAAUAAGCCCCGGCUAACUUCGUGCCAGCAGCCGCGGUAAUACGAAGGGGGCUAGCGUUGUUCGGAAUUACUGGGCGUAAAGCGCGCGUAGGCGGUUAUGCAAGCCAGAGGUGAAAUGCCUGAGCUCAACUUAGGAAUUGCCUUUGGAACUG
rnacentral:rRNA from 1 species